rnacentral:miRNA from 1 species
AUUAAGUGUUCUUGCUAUGCAAGACCACUUAAUGUUAUCUCACAUAUAUAUUAUUAAGUGUUCUUGCAUAGCAAGACCACUUAAUGUUAUCUC